rnacentral:rRNA from 1 species
CCUACGGGAGGCAGCAGUGAGGAAUAUUGGUCAAUGGACGCAAGUCUGAACCAGCCAUGCCGCGUGCAGGAAGACGGCUCUAUGAGUUGUAAACUGCUUUUGUACGAGGGUAAACGCAGAUACGCGUAUCUGUCUGAAAGUAUCGUACGAAUAUGGAUCGGCUAACUCCGUGCCAGCAGCCGCGGUAAUACGGAGGAUUCAAGCGUUAUCCGGAUUUAUUGGGUUUAAAGGGUGCGUAGGCGGUCGGAUAAGUUAGAGGUGAAAUCCCGAGGCUCAACUUCGGAAGUGCCUCUGAUACUGUUCGGCUAGAGAGUAGUUGCGGUAGGCGGAAUGUAUGGUGUAGCGGUGAAAUGCUUAGAGAUCAUACAGAACACCGAUUGCGAAGGCAGCUUACCAAGCUACUUCUGACGUUGAGGCUCGAAAGCGCGGGUAUCGAACAGGAUUAGAUACCCGGGUAGUC